CUCUUUCAUGCCUUUCAUGUAGGCAAAGUAGACAGGGAGGGUGUUUUCUCCCAAUCAAGCUAUAAUCAAACUGACUUAGAAGAAGCUAUUAAUGCACAGAUCCAUCAUUGCUUGGCUAUGGACAAACGGGCAGGUGGUGCUGCACAACAGGCUGGGAUGAGCUCUUUUUUUCCUUCCUGGACGGAAAAGCUGCCACGUCUUUGAGCUGCUGAGAUGUUGCCAUGAUGUGGUGGUGCCUGAGGAGUGGUCCUUUCUUUGGCAUCUGCAGGCCCUGAGGCAUGGUCUGGAACUGGAAGAGGAACAAAGGGUUGCUGAAGUCUGCUUUGCAGGUGUAGCUGGCUUGCUGAAUUCUUCUCCUUUGCCUAAAGAGAGAGGCUGGACCAUUCCUAAUAAGGUAAGCUCAGGCCUGGAAAAUAUCGGCUCAUCACCUAGCUUCUUCAAGCCAAAAUGCUUUUGACCUACCUGCACACUGCUCUUUUGCUAACAACUCUCUUCCUAUCUCUCUGGGUUUCCCUAUAAAGAAGAUAGAAGGGUCUGUUUCUCCUUAAGGUUUGUAGGAACUCUAUCCCAAAAAUAAAUCCCUCCUUAACUGCAUAGCGGAACGGUUCACUGACAGCUCCCUGUCUCACUGUGGGCUGACCUUCUCCUGGCUGACUCUGCCAAGACCCUCAUAUUUUAAGGAUGAUGUCUUACUUCCCAGUUUCCACCCCACAGCCCACCUGCCUCUUCCAUUCCUCCCUCUACUCAAGCAGGAGAUCGAUGAUCUAAAUCCCUAUUUGCAGAUGGUGAGAAUGAAAGUAAUAUAAGAUAUAAAGUAAUAAGGCAUAAAGAUGGGACUACUUUUAGUAUGAAUCAUUUGAAAUUCCUUUCUCAUUGGUCAAAAAGCAGUUAAAUAUUGGCAAUUUCAGAUGAUUCACCUAACGAUUCUUUUUGCCCAAGGAGGCAAUGUGAGGUGCACAUCAGUUGCCUAAGUCAGCUAGACUCAUUGGAUGCCCUUGACUUCAACUACUGCACAUGCCUGGAUAAUUCUCAAAUAUGCAUCUCCAAUUCAGCUUCUCUUCUGACCUAUCAGACAUCCUCAUUUGGAUGUGACAAAUGUACCCCAAAUCUGUGAUGUCCAAAAUGGCAUCAUUGUUCCCCACUUCAGACCUGCUCAUUCUAUAUCCCUGUGGCAAGUGCCUCCAUUAUCCAAAGUCACCAAAUUCUACCCAAGGGAAUAUUCGUAGCUGUUCUCUCUUAAAUCCUCCGUCUCAGUUGAUAGACACAUAAGUUAAUAAUAUCUCCUUCAUCGUGUUUAAUCUCCUUUCUACCUCCCCACUGCUCUCUUCUAAAUUCUCAUAAUUUCUUACUGGCAUUCUAGUAACAACCUCCUAAUUAUUUUCUCUGCCUCCAGUUUUCUCACAUCUCCAAAGCCUGUGGAAUCCUUCAAUCAGGGACAUUUUUCUGAAACACAAAUUUGAUGAUGCUCUUCUUCUUCCAUGUCUCCUAUUGCCUUUUGGUAAAGGCCUCAUUCCUAAACACCCACAAGAAUCUUUUAUCUCAUGGUUAUCAAAGGAGGUUGGGAUCUGGCAGUAUUAUCUCUCUCUGUCUCUUUUUUAUUUUCAGACAGGGUCUCACUCUGUUGCCCAGGCUGGAGUGCAGUGGCACAAUCACAGCUCACUGCAGCCUCCACCUCCUGGGCCCAAGCUAUUCUCCUUCCUCAGCCUCCCAAGUAGUUGGAACAGCUACCUGUGUGACCUUGGGCAAGUCACUUGGCAUCUCUGUACCCCCAUUUAUACAAAGGCUUUUGAUCAUCAGUCUUCACAUGGUCUCCCACACUGCCCUGUGCUGAUGGAGCAGAGACGCAAAUGACGUGGGCCAUCCACUUUAACUGUCUUUCAAGGCCUUUCCACCAGGACAGUACCUCACAGGCCUUAUGGCCUUUGGAGUCUGGACAGCCUGAAUUCUCAUCAGUAAAUACUUCAGGUACCUAAUUACUACCCAGGGAGGAACAAUGUGGAACUACAAGCCCAGAGAUGGCUACAGGUGGGCAGAAGCGGGAGACAUGCACCAUCAUCCUUCCAGAAGAGGAAAGUGAUACGUAACUGUCAGAAAUCUGAUUAAAAUUUGCACAUGAAAUCAGUUAGAUAAAUUAUAGAACAUAAGUCAUGAUUCUACUUCUGAAAAAGAAAUAAUGGGUAAUUUUUCAUCAAAAUAGAAAAUAAAUAUGAAUCACUACAAUACCCAAGUAGUUGUUCCCAUCCCUUCCACCCCCAGCAAAUGUAUGCACACCUUGUGCCAGUGGAUGGGAUGCAGUAUUGGAAGUAGAGGAGGCUGGAGGGGGUGGAGGGUAGGAAGAAAGAACCCAGAUGGGAAGAGGUGGGAAAAUGUCAGAGAGAAAUUUCCCUUGAGUCCCAAUUUGCCUGGAGCUGCUUCUGCCUGGAGCUCUACAAGAAAAGCUGUUCAGAAAGGAGGCCAAAGAGAGAGGGGAGAAAAUAAACUCCUUUGUGAGGUUUUCCAGAGGUACACAUUUCUGAAAAGCUGAUUGUAUUUCUUCCUAAUCAUUCCAGUCCAGAGUCCAAUCAGCACAAAGACUGAGACAAUAAACUCACAUCACAAAAGUUUCUGGGAUCCAGGCUUCUUUUCAGGGACAAAUAAUACAAUUUCCAUCUGGAUAAUUUGUUCAUCAUGGCCCUAUGUUUUCUUAACUGUCGAGUGGAGAAACAAAGGCAGGACUCAGUACCAACUUCUAUCCUCUGUGGAUAGCACAAAGACAUCCUGCAUUUGCCCUGGAGGAGCAGUUCAUCAUUUGACUGUAUUUUGUACACAAACAACCAUUUUUCAAUCAGAUCAAGAUUUUCCUACUUUCAUUCAUCCUAAUACCCUACUUCUGCACAAUCAGUCAGAUUGGCUGAGCAGAAAGGCUAGCUUGUUCAUCCGUGUCUGGAAAUGCCAGAUGUACUUUUUUUUUUAAGCCUGGAAUGUUUUUCACUGAACUUGGCCAAGUGUCUGCUCAGAGGGGAGCUCCAGGUGCUACCCCUGGACUACCGGCUCCCGGGCUGCAAGGGGUCUGGGUCUCGAGUUGGAUUGUGAGGGCUAGAGCAUUCCCACUCACCCCAGUACCCUGCAGUGAGCCGGCUUGGAGUGGUGGCAAGAGCAUACAUUUCAGAGACAGUUUCUAGCAACCUUCCUUACUAGCUCUGUGACUUCAUGUCUCAUAGUUGGCACGCAGUACAUGGUAGCUAUUGUUAACAUUUAUUAGUGACAAAUGCCACCAGCAUUAAGACACUAUUAUCCUCUAGUCCCUUGCUACUCAUAAUGUACCCACAGAUCAGCUGCUUCUGCAUCACAGGGAGCUUGUUAGAAAUGCGUCAGAAUCUGCAUUUUAGCAAGAUCUCCGGGAAGUUCCUACACAUUAACGUUUGGGAAGUGCUGCAGUCUAGUCAACACUCCCUGGCUUCCUGGAAGGGCCAACCCACCCAGUCACAAUGCUUUUUUCAGGACAAUCUCUCCUGUGUUCAACAUUUUUUUCUACAACCCAAAUCUUGGCACAUAGCCAAAUCAAAUAUGAAUUCAUCUAAUGGAAACAAUGAGGUAGAAUAUUUGACAUUGAGUUUCACUAUCACUAUGUUUAACUCCUGUCUCAUAACCAUUUUGCUUUCCUAUAUCUGAAAAAGGGGAAGAAUUAUUUUAAACAGUUCACCACUCCAGCCCCUUUUAUUCUAGUCAUGGGUGAGGCUAUAUGUUAGCUUUUUAUGCAUUUCUCUGCCUAAACAUUUCUUCUAAGGAAAAAAGAUUCCCCAGCAGACACACCAUGGGAAUCUGCCUUCUUCUGGAAAUCAGUCCCUGCACUGAUGGAGCUGGUCCAGGUAACGCCUGGCGUCCCCUCUUCAGUGAAUGCCACAGGCCCUGCCUUUUUGAUGCCCCUUUAUUUCAGCUGCGUGGGCAGGACACCAGGCUAUUUGCAACAGCAAUUUCUGAACAUGACUUGCAAUGCAUACUUGCCAGAGAGCUACCACUUCAUCAGGACUGACUGAAUUAGAGGCAGAGACAGCUGCUGCUGGUAAAGUCUUGGUUUCUUGGUCCCAGGCCUCUGGUUCCCACAUGCGAUGCCAUGGAGACCCUGUUUGGAAGCAGCAAUGCCCCCUGAACUGAGAUGGACCUAAACAGCUCUGAGCAGCCAACGGAGGGAAGAAGAGAUUCCUAGAAGGCAAGAAACAAAAUGGCCAGGUAACCCAUCUGAAUAGUAUCCGGGCAUUAGCACAGGCUACCAGCCAAUCAGAAGCAAGGAAGUGAAGAGGAAAGGAGGACUGAGGGAUUGUUUUGGCUGCUGGUCACUCAGAGACUAAGAGAGAGAGCCUUCAGACUCCCUCAUUCCCUUGUGGGAUUUAUGAGGAAACUAAGACCCAUAAAUAUCAAAAAUGUGACCCAAGGCCUUGGAUAUAGUGAUUGUCAGAGUUGCCCUCAACCUGGGACCUCUGGGAUCAAGAGAAGUGAGCCUUGGACUAACUACAUGUUCACUCUCGCAUCGGAAAUUGGGUGUAAUUUGGCUUAAAUAUGGGGCUUGGGGAUUGUUAUCAAUUUGUUAUGGCACAAAUUGUCCUUUUUCAAUUUGCCUUUUCUCUUCCCUUCUUCCCUCCAAAAUAUCCCCCUAUUCUUUCUCCCUCUGCACUUCCAAUUCAGAGGAACUCAGGUUUUUACUUCCUUAGGAGGACGUGCUAGCAUCACCGGUGUUGUGGGCCUUGAGCCGAGGGCCUCAGGACUGUGAUGAGGCUCAGGGCCACAGUAAGAGCAGGGUUUCCUGAACACAACACUGCACUUAACCACACCUGGGUGAAAAUUUCAUUUUCUUCACACAAAGACUGGGCUCUAAAGUGUCCAGUGUUCUAUGAGUCUCGAUAAGGUGAAAUAAUUCUGUUAUUGUUGACUCAUAGAUUUUCUGCUUGCAUGUAUACCUAAAGACUUUUUGCAAUUCUUGCCAGGGUAUAUAUUUUUUAAGAUACAAAACUGUCUUACACCCCACAGCAAGCUUUAAUCCUGUGAGGACAAUCUGUUUCUCCUGGCAACACUAAGGCUACUAGAUGAACAGGGGUCAGCCGGGUAGUUUGAAGAGAAGCCUUGGUAAUCUGUUAGACAAAGCUGAGAAUUCUCUAAAGAAUGUCUAGCAAAGAUACUUCAGUUUGAAGUGAAUAGAAAGGGUUUUGUUCACAGGCCCUGCCUUGCUGCUGGAUUCAAAGAAUGUGCAGCACCAGAAAAGGACAUCAAUGUCCUUCUUGAAAAUGAAACACACACGCGCACACACACACACACACACACACGUGUCUUCUUUUCUGCCUGCAUUGAGCAUUGCAUAACUGUGGAAAAGUUCAUCACGCCUGAAAAUAUGUAUCUUUCCUUUGAUCCAAAGCAAGUGCUAUAUUGGAAUAAAGAUGCCAUAUCUUCCGCCUUUAGUAAAAUGAAUUGUCAAGGAUUUUGCUUCAGAAAGAUCAAGAAAAGACCAAACGAUUCUGCAGGGUGAGGCCUCAGAGUUCAGGCUGUUGAUUAGGAGUUAGGGGCCCUGUAAGUCUUAUUGGUUCUCAGCUUUCUCACUAGCUCAUGUUUGUGACCUUAGGCAAGGCACUUAAGCUCUUUGUACCUUCAUUCCUCCAUUUGAAAAUUAGAGAUAAUACUUGCCGCCUACUUAAACUCAAAGGGAUAUGUGAGGAUUAGCCAAUUAAAGUUUGCCAAAUGCUUGGGAAUCAAUGGAGGGAAAAAUCUGUAUGAAUAUAAGGUAUCAUUGUCAGUCCCGCCUGACUCCCUCUUCACUCUCUUACCCCUCCUGUUUCCACCCUCUCUUUUAAAGGAUUGCCUUCCUGGGAAACUCAUGAGCAUUAUGCAUGGUUUUACUUAUGGUUGCUAUUGUGGAAAGUGGCCAUCUCCUAUUAUUAAGUGAUUUGUUUGAAGUUGGUCCUUUCUAUACCAUCACGGGGGAGGUUUCCAAAUCAAAGCAUCCUAGACUGAUUGUCAGUGAGGCACAGCUGGCAAGGUUUCUUUUGGGUUUACCUUUAGCAUCCUGUAGAGAGGAGAAAACAACCAUUUUAAUGUAAAAUAGUAAGCAUAAUUUGGAAAUAUUUGCCCAUUAGGAAUACAAAGCUAGUGAGGUACAAAAAUAAAGUCAAUUUAGAGCCCUUGUUACAAUCCUUGAAGAAAUUCCCCUUUUAACCAAAACAAUAAUAGUGCUUCCUAUUUCAUAAACGUUGCUCCUCUGGCUGUUACAGCCACGUGAAAAAUGAGUGUAACAUAACUAUGGCAUAUUAUCUGUUUGUUUCACAAUUGGAAAAUUGAGAUGCAGAGAGAUUAAGUGACUUGCUCACCACAACUUAGCUAACGAACGGAACGGCAA
rnacentral:lncRNA from 1 species